rnacentral:rRNA from 1 species
GACAGAGGGUGCAAACGUUGUUCGGAAUUACUGGGCGUAAAGCGAGUGUAGGCGGUCUGCUAAGUCGGGUGUGAAAGCCCUGGGCUCAACCCAGGAAGUGCACUCGAAACUGGCGGGCUAGAGUAUCGGAGAGGUUGGUGGAAUUCUCGGUGUAGCGGUGAAAUGCGUAGAUAUCGAGAGGAACACCUGCGGCGAAGGCGGGUUGCUGGGCUGACACUGACGCUGAUGCGCGAAAGCCAGGGGAGCGAACGGG